GGCAGCCUGCUACAGUGGUUUGAGUGUUCUACGACUAGGGCUUUGGAGACCAGGGUUCGAAUCCCGGCUCAGCCA